CAUCAUUACAAAUGUGUAAUUAUGAAUAUAUUUAAAAACAACUUUCUGUAGAAAUUAUAUUAAAGCAUAUAUGCUUGUCAAAUUCAGAAGCACACUUUAACUCGAUUUCAAAGUAAUUGUGAAAUUACAUAAGUCCUAAAGCACUUUAAAGUUCAGCUAAUUGCUUUUAAUAUACAUUUUAAAUAUAAUAAAUGUUGAUUUAUUUGCAGUUAACCUGUGAUUAAGUGUCCGAAAUCACUACAUUCAGUUCACACUUCAGUAUAGUCUUUUAAAGUGUGCUUCUUUUUCACGAGGGGUAUAUACAUUUAUAGACAACAAAUACACGGCAUGGUCAUUCCAACAGAAAAUAACUGCAAUUUCUUAGUUUCUUUUCAGGUGAAGAACUUAGCCACUGUGAACAAAAAAACAAAGUGUGCAUGUUCACCAAUCAGCUAAGCUCUGCACCCGCCGAGAGCGACGGCACAGUUGCAGUUGUUUUGCUGUUGAAGUACAAAAACCCCAAUGAAGUUCCCCUGUCUCAUUCUGCCAGUCACAAAUCAGCAUGCCAGGAACCCACACAGUCACAACAAGCCGGUAACCCCCGCCGUCCCACCCCAGCUCCUGCUUCUCCCAUGCUUGGCUUAACUCUAGGUAUUUCCCUAAUUAUCCACUACACCCAGAUAAGAAACUUGAUGCAAUUUUCUCUCUAAAACGGCAAGAAAGAUAAGGGUUUUGAAAUGAACAGUUAACAUCGCUUAUUGCAUCCAAGAAGAUUCCUUUGCGGUCUUUGUGAGGCAGAUGUGGAGAAGAGGUGAGAAAGAGAUGCAAAUCUGACUAAGUCUCGGUACAUUGAGGAAAAGAUGGUUAGGUAACAUAUCUCUUGCUAAAAAACAUAUUUGCAUGGUACUCUGAGAUACUUUAGAGAACACUAAAGUAUUACCAUGUCAGGAAAAACAUGGCUAUGUUGUAAUAAGUGGUGUAGCAGUGCAUGCAUUUUGAAUCACAGUCAUGUGUGGGCUGAUCAGGUUUCACAGUUUAGCAUGCAACCCUUCUUCAUUUAUGCAUUUACUUGCCACCCAAGUAGUGCAAAUGUGAUUAAAUCAUUUAAAAAAAUCAUUAGUCUUGUGAAAUCAUGUGAAAAGGCCUUUGGAGGAUGUUUUAUGGAAAUACAUUUCGUAUGAUGUCCUCCAUUUGGCUUUUCUCUCUAUCAGAUGUUUCUCAUAUCUCUAAAUUAAGUGAUUUGCUUUACAAUAUAUGGGGAGGGAAGUGUAAAGGGUUGAUGCCACAUUAAACAAGGACGGGUCGAACUGACUGCAUCAAAUUAUUGCAAAAUAAAGUGCAGUCUGGCGUGAUGUGGAAGCCUCACAGACUCUCCAGUGAUUCUCCAGGCUUAAUGUUCCUCACUCUGAAAUAUCCAUGACAGUAGGACAGUCGUGGAGUCCGGCGAGGUGUUUAGGCUACAAAAUAAAAUAAAAAUACAUAUAUAUA